rnacentral:rRNA from 1 species
UACGGAGGGGGCUAGCGUUGUUCGGAAUUACUGGGCGUAAAGCGCACGUAGGCGGCUUUGUAAGUUAGAGGUGAAAGCCCAGGGCUUAACCCUGGAAUUGCCUUUAAGACUGCAUCGCUAGAAUCGUGGAGAGGUGAGUGGAAUUCCGAGUGUAGAGGUGAAAUUCGUAGAUAUUCGGAAGAACACCAGUGGCGAAGGCGACUCACUGGACACGUAUUGACGCUCAGGUGCGAAAGCGUGGGGAGCAAACAGG